UACGUAGGGGCAAGCGUUGUCCGGAAUCAUUGGGCGUAAAGAGCGUGUAGGCGGCCCGGUAAGUCCGUUGUGAAAGUCGAGGGCUCAACCCUCGAAUGCCGGCGGAUACUGUCGGGCUAGAGUCCGGAAGAGGCGAGUGGAAUUCCUGGUGUAGCGGUGAAAUGCGCAGAUAUCAGGAGGAACACCAAUGGCGAAGGCGGCAAGCUGGAUGGGCACUGACACUCAACUGCGAAAGCGUGGGGAGCAAACAGG
rnacentral:rRNA from 1 species